ensembl:ncRNA F26F4.14 ncRNA
AAGUGCAGCUGGCACGAUGCCAAGUAGGCGGUUUCUCUGCGUAGCGGCCGCGAAAGUGUGUGUCAUGCGUGUGAGACGAUACAGAAAGCGGUGUCCCAGUCUAUGACUACUCUCUUCAUUCUGCAUACUCUCUCGCCACUGUCUGCACG